rnacentral:rRNA from 1 species
GUGGGGAAUCUUCCGCAAUGGACGAAAGUCUGACGGAGCAACGCCGCGUGAGUGAAGAAGGUUUUCGGAUCGUAAAGCUCUUUCGUCAGGGACGAACGUAUUUCUUGUAAAUAAUGAGAGAUAGUGACGGUACCUGAAUAAGAAGCCACGGCUAACUACGUGCCAGCAGCCGCGGUAAUACGUAGGUGGCAAGCGUUGUCCGGAAUUAUUGGGCGUAAAGCGCGCGCAGGCGGGAUAUCAAGUCUGUCUUAAAAGUGCGAGGCUCAACCUCGUGAGGGGACAGAAACUGGGAUUCUUGAGUGUCGGAGAGGAAAGUGGAAUUCCAAGUGUAGCGGUGAAAUGCGUAGAGAUUUGGAAGAACACCAGUGGCGAAGGCGACUUUCUGGACGAUGUCUGACGCUGAGGCGCGAAAGCUAGGGGAGCGAACGGGAUUAGAAACCCGGGUAGUCC